AGACUGGGGUGGGGAGGAGAUGGGGGCGCACGGGGCAUAAGGGGAUGGGCGAGCGGCUCUCCCGGCGCAGGAAACCGGAAAUCAGUGCCCUCUCCCUGCCUUCGGCCUCCGCCUUGGAGUGUAUCCCAGAGGAGGGAUACACAACCCCCCACACCCCAGGUCGCGCUGUCCGAGGAGAGGGGCUCCCUUCCCGGCCCUCCCCACAGCGCUCCCCCAAAAUCUGAUUUUCUCACUCCCACUACCGCUCCCUCCAGUCCCCACUUCUAGCAGCUGCCACGGAGAAAGGGGAAAGGAAGCCGAGGGGACUCCAGUUUCCUUUGGUCCUGGUCUGGAGUUGCAUCUCGCCAUCGGGGCACCUUGAGCGUGGUCUUGAAACUCCGCUACCCCACCCUCCAGCCCAAUUCGGACGCGGUUGGGUCAGUCUCGCAAGAUGAGGGUGCAGGGCGAGGCCCGGGCCGGUGCGAAGGAGUCCCCGGCUGGGCCAGAGAUGCGCUGGCUCCCGCGCCUCGGCCGAGCCCCUGGAUUCCAGGGCGCAGAGGGCCUCGGCAGCGAAGGUUCCCGUCGUCAAGAAUUUCGGGGGCAGGGGGCGGCUUUGGAGGUUUCCGCCGCCGUCCUCCCCACUGGUGACUUCUCCACCUGUAGGCGGUGGCGGAGCGAGACGGCGGCGGGUGGGAGGAACGGCUUUCCAAAAUCCCCUUUUACAUCUCUGAUAAGAGUAACCCUGCCGCGCUGCGCCACCCUCGGCUCCCAAGGGAGCCCCUUCCUCGGAAAAGGAAAGGUGAACCUCCUCCAGGCUGCAGAACGGCCUGGGCUGGAACCGGCACCAGAAAAGACUGGGGGACCGAGGCAGCGGUGGAGACGCGAAGGGGCUGAGGAGCGCGCCUCAGCUUUCCCUUGCCAGCCUCCCUUUUGGCCCGGAUUCCUCGGGGCUUCUCUAGAGGAAAUGCUUAUGCGGUCCUCAGUGUUCGCCACCCAGGGCUCCGCGCCCGAGGCCCACUCAUCCCUAAAACGUCGCAGAGCUGGGGGGCGCAUGCCGCAGAAGAGAAGCCUGGGGUUUCCCCAGCCCAGGAGAGAGAAGGCUCGGUCUUCCUCCCCACCCCCGCCCGAAGUGUCAAGUUUCCUCCAGGGGAGGGGGUGGCUCGCGAGGGCUGCCUUCUCGCGCGGCCCAAGCUGCGAAGUCAACUCUCUCCAUCGGGGGCCAAGGCCGUGCGCGUGCACACACUCAUACACACUCACACUCUGGCACAUUCACACACUCACUCGUGCACAGACACACAGGCUCUCCGACGUGCUUCCCAGGCGGAGGCAGAGACCGCGCUGCGAGCCGCGCGCACUUUUCCAGCUUUCCGACGGGCGGGGCACUCGGGGCGGGGCGCGGGCAGCGGAGAAAUUGAUAACAGAUUCCGCGGAUUACUGCGGAUCUCUUUGUUAGAGGAGAAGCCACACAAACCGAUCCCACUCUCGGCCCGACGACCUCGGGGAGAAGCCACUCGUUCAUAGAACUGGGGCCAAAGUGGGAGCGGGGCAGUUGGCUUCCGCGACGCGGGUCUCUAAGCCCGGGGCUGGGAGUAGGCCGGAGGUGUCCCGAAGGGAAUCUGCCGGGAGAGCCCCGGGAGUCACAUCUCCACUUAACCCGCGCGCUUGCCCGGAAACAGCUUGGCCCUCUUCCCGCUCCAAUCCCCCGUGCAACCCAGAAAAGGCCCCACAAGUUUAAAGACUGAAGGAACCCACAGCCAACUCACUGAUACAUCGAACUGUAGGGUAAACGUCCCUGCCUGUUUACCAAGAGAACUGAUCCGAAAAGAGGACAAAAUAAGACCUUUCCGGAGACCGUAACACGCAGGGUAAAAGUUCUGGGCAGAAGCUGAAUUCACCGAAGACCAGGCUAAAAAUUUUGAACAAUUUCAGGGUCCGAAGAAAUGGACUUUGUAAGGAUACUUGGCAUCUGUUUCUAGUGCGCGUCUGAGAGGAGGGCUGCGGGCAUUUGAGAGGUUCUAGCGCAAGGGAGGGGUGAGGUGGGGGUAGGGCGUUUGCGCGCCCUUGUUUCCAGCCCCAGAACAGAUCCACGUAGAGUAGGCUUAUAUUGUCUCUCCUCCAGAGCCUUCCCGCUGGAUUAAAAGUGUCCCUAACCCUUCUUUAUCAACUGGUGUGCGGGCCGAGAAUCCUCUAAACUCCGUUACGCGAGUUUAGAGGACUUUGGGGGGCGACAGAAAGCCCCGGAAAGCACGCUCAAGUCGGAGGCCAGAAGCGCCUAAAAAGAAAUUCCCUCGAGGCAGGGAGAAAAUUCUCGCCCCUCAGCCACUGGCGCUACCUCACUCGGUCCGGACACCCCCUUCCACUUCACGUCCAGCCCCAGCCCCUAGACCCUAGUCUCUGGGAGCGGAAAUGAUGGAGAAACUGGGAGAAUAAAUUAGAUUGACCUGGGCUCGCGGUGGCGAAA
rnacentral:lncRNA from 1 species